rnacentral:rRNA from 1 species
AUACGGAGGGUGCAAGCGUUACUCGGAAUCACUGGGCGUAAAGCGCGCGCAGGCGGUCUUUUAAGUUGGAUGUGAAAGCCUACGGCUCAACCGUAGAACUGCAUCCAAAACUAUUAGACUAGAGUGUGGGAGAGGAAGACGGAAUUAGUUGUGUAGGGGUAAAAUCCGUAGAGAUAACUAGGAAUACCAAAAGCGAAGGCAAUCUUCUGGAACACUACUGACGCUGAGGCGCGAAAGCGUGGGGAGCAAACAGGAUUAGAAACCCCAGUAGUCC